ACGUAGGGGGCAAGCGUUGUCCGGAGUUACUGGGCGUAAAGGGCCCGCAGGCGGUCAGGCAAGUUCAGACUGACAAUCCCCAGCUUCACUGGGGAGGGUGUAUGAAAACUGCGUGACUUGAGGGACAGAGAGGGACAUGGAAUUCCGGGUGGAGUGGUGAAAUGCGUAGAUAUCCGGAGGAACACCAAAGGCGAAGGCAAUGUCCUGGCUGUUACCUGACGCUCAGGGGCGAAAGCUAGGGGAGCGAACGGGAUUAGAUACCCCGGUAGUCCUAGCUGUAAACGAUGACCACUAGACGUUCGGGGUAUCGACCCCCUGAGUGUCGUAGCUAACGCGAGAAGUGGUCCGCCUGGGGAGUACGGUCGCAAGAUUA
rnacentral:rRNA from 1 species